UAUCUCUGUAGAGUCUGCAUAUCAAUAAGCGGAGGAAAAGAAACUAACAAGGAUUCCCUUAGUAACGGCGAGUGAAGCGGGAAGAGCUCAAAUUUGAAAUCUUCAAGGUUCUGACCUUGACGAAUUGUAGUUUAAAGAAGUGUUUUCGGUUAGAGGAGUAGCUAAAAGUUCCUUGGAAUAGGACAUCAUAGAGGGUGAGAAUCCCGUAUUUGAUUAUUCAUUCUAGCUUUGUGAUACACUUUCAAAGAGUCGGAUUGUUUGGGAAUGCAGUCCAAAAUGGGUGGUAAAUUUCAUCUAAAGCUAAAUAUUGGCGAGAGACCGAUAGCGAACAAGUACCGUGAGGGAAAGAUGAAAAGAACUUUGAAAAGAGAGUUAAACAGUACGUGAAAUUGUCAAAAGGGAAGCGUUUGACACCAGUGUUGUUUUUCCGAAAAUCAAUUACAAAUGCUUGAUUUGGGUUGUAUUGACCUUAUCAGCUUCUGCACUUUGGUUUCGAGUCUUUCUUGAUGCACUUUUCGGUUAACAAGUCAACAUCAAUUUCUUUGUUGUAAAAGAGUAUUCGGAAGGUGGCUUUCUUUUCGGAGAAAGUGUUUAUAGCCCUAUACUUCUACAAUCGGAGAGAUUGAGGUCUGCAGCGUAGAUCCUUCGGGGUUAGAUACACUUGUGCUAAGUUGUAGCUUUUCAUAGACAACUUGUUGACUAUGUUUAGUCAUGCGGCUUACUCGCUUGUGCUAUUUUACCUACGCUUAGGAUGUUGACUGAUAUGUAGUCGUA
rnacentral:rRNA from 1 species